AGGAUGAGAUAGAGUAAUAGGUUAACUUAUCAGGCUCAUAAUCUGAAGAUGUAGGUUCAAGUCCUACUCUCAUCA
rnacentral:tRNA from 1 species